AUUGAACGCUGGCGGCAUGCCUAACACAUGCAAGUCGAACGAGUGGCGGACGGGUGAGUAAUGUCUGGGAACCUGCACGAUAGCGGGGGAUAACUACUGGAAAUGGUAGCCAAUACCGCAUACUAUCGGAGCAGCCCAGAUCGGAUUAGCUGGUUGGUGGGGUAACGGCUUACCAAGGCGACGAUCACUAGCGGGCCUGAGAGGAUGACCCGCCACCCUGGAACUGAGACACGGUCCAGACUCCUACGGGAGGCAGCAGUGGGGAAUAUUGCACAAUGGGCGCAAGCCUGAUGCAGCCAUGCCGCGGGUAUGAAGAAGGCCUUCGGGUGGUAAAGUACUUUGAUCAGGGAGGCGGUACUUAAAGAAGAAGCAACGGCUAACUCCGUGCCAGCAGCCGCGGUAAUUC
rnacentral:rRNA from 1 species